rnacentral:lncRNA from 1 species
CCACCGCGGGUCCGUCUCCAUCGCGCUCACCGGCGCCAGGGCUGCCUCCAAGCUCGCCAAGCCGGACUCUUCGCAGCUCGGCUUCUUCCUUUGGUGAUAUAGAAGAUGAAAUUGUUUGUUCUUGUAUUCUGUUACAUGGUUUGGUUUUGUUAGCCAGAUUCAGUCUUUCUUUAUCUCAGCUGAGGUUGAUGUGGGUUUAUUGGCAGAUUAUUUACAAAAGAAAUUGUUUGAGGUCAAGAGUUGAUGCCAAAUGUCCUGGAUCAGGACAACUCCUGGGAAACAAGGCGAACGGUAUGUGCGUGCAAAAUUGAAAAUUGUACUAGAUAUGUGUAGUUUGCUCCAGGAUCCUAUAUCAGUGUAUUUGCUUCGUGCAGUUCCCUAUGUCAUCCAUUAUAUUUAUAUAGGGAUAAAUUUCCACGGGUUGUUGUAAGCAAAACUCCCUAUGUACCGGCACUUGUCUCUUUACAGACUGUCCGGGCUUUCUAGAUUAGAAUAUAAUUGUUUUAGAUAAUUCGAAAUAAGUUUUUACGCCAGCUUGCACCUUUAUUAUUUGCAGCCGGGAAGUCUAUUUCUUUUCUUUUUUUUGAUUCAAAACUAUUGGCAUGAAUUGGCCCUUGCAUUUGGUCUGAGCACUUACAAUAAUUCCAACCUGUCAAUUGGGGACAGAUAUGUCCAUCACACCUGUACCUUUUAUUCAGUUUGAGGAGGAAUAAGUAGUCAAUUGGCUGAUUAAUUAUGUUUCAUGUGAUUUGUAUAUGGACGCAGUUGCAACAGUUAGCUGCAUCAACUAUAAUUUUUCUUUCGCUGGCGGGGCAUGCAUCCCGACGAGUUAUACAAUUUAGCUGAUUUAAUUCGUGGCCUAACAAUACUUUUGGUAAUAGUUGUCAAGUAAAAAAGGAUCUGCUUUUUCGUAAUGAUGGCCAAAUAAAAGAGGAUCCAAACCCUCACGAGUUUACAUUGUACAAAGCUAUUAUGUGCUGACAAUAAUUUUUCUAAGUUGCUCUCUACAUCUCGGUGUUAUUAGUCUAAAUAUUCUGAUUCCAAAGGAUGUUUUCAAACAUCAGAUCUUUUAAUAAAUUUGAAACAACAUAUCUUUCUAAUUUUGGUUCUGUCUAAAAUGAUGAAAUUCAAUUUUGUUCUACUGCAUAUUAGCUUAAUCAUCUUCACCAGCAGUAUAUAUUGCAGAUAAUUGUGUUGGUUUGGUUUUUAGCAUGUAGGUAUGAUAUGGUAAGCCUCCAGUGAAGGAGGGGCUUAGAAAAAGAGAAACUGUUCUAUUUGAUAUACAAUGUAAUUUGGAAAUUAAUGGCAGAAGGCUCCUAAACUAACAUAUGAUGUUUUGUUUGAAUUUCUCUUUACCGGAUUGUGUUACUUCUGCGCAGUCACCAUACUUGACAAGGGUCCCUGAUUUUAUCACUUCCGUUGACGAGUCUUGUGUCAGCAUCUUGAUGCGAGGUACAACUUCUAGGUGAUCUUCUUCAUGUUUUACGUUGUUGUACUUUUUGCUGCAAUGUGGACGUACAUAUUCUAGCAGAUAUAUCUUCAUGCUUUACCUUGUUUACCACUGCCCUGAUGUGGAGGUACAGAUUCUAGCUGAUAUAUAUCGUCAUGUUUUACCUUUUACCAACAUCCAAGAUUUUUGUUUCCUCAUUUCUUUCAAUUAGAUAGAAGAUGGGACGUGCUUUGUUGUAGUUUCCUCUUACUUUGACUAAGUAGGACAUUUUUUUGAAAUACCAAAUUGUGGUGUCGCUACCCCUACGCACCACGGUUUUGCAGCACCCUCAGCUAAAGUAAACCAUUCCAAGCCUACCAUACUCGAAACAUGGAAGCAUGCAAACUUCAGAGCAUCUUGGUGUCGCUGGCCACCCGAUCUCUACAACCACCACAAAAUGCUACAGGACCAACCAGGCCGGUGUCCUGACCACUGAAUCAUGUCACUGUGUGGGCGCCUAGAUCUCCCAUGUGUCUGUCUAAAGCCUGAGGGGCCAACCUCGCUCGAGCGUCGCCAGCCAGCACUCAUCUGCACAUGAACAAAUGGUUGGAUAUAUGUGCCUCCUCCGUCUCUUAUUCCCCGAAACAUAAUUUGAUGAGUAGAGUUUCUAAUCAUUUAUGGCACACUGGCAUAUGAUUAAACUGCACAAGUUAGAUUGACAUUUUGUGGAGAACGGUCGUCGGUUGGGAGCCUCGCCGUCUACCUCCACCAGCCGGCCCACACACCAUUGCUCCCCGCGUGUCGCGCCCCUCCCCGAACCAUCAUGCCUUCUAAUUAGUGUACGUGGUAGUCUGGUAAAAGUGGAGAAUAAUUCGGGUAAUGUCUAUGGAUGUACUACCAGUAUUGCGGCUAACCUGCCUGGCAGUGAGAUGCAUCUAGAUUAGAUCUGAUUACUGAUAUAGAAGAUGCAAUUAAUUAUCUAAAAUUUUCCUUGUACCAUUUUCCAUGAGAUUAAUGUAAUUGGGAAUACCAGUGCUUGUUUGAAUCAUUUAGUUAAAUAAUUUUAUAGAUAAAACUUGUAUUUGUAUGUUUUGGAAUUACUAUUAUCCUGGUAAAAUGACCACAAGUGAAAGGGUUGUAAAGAUUAAUUAUUCUUUGUGGAAGCAUUACUGGUCUAAUUAAUAGAUGUACAUGCAUCAAUAAUGUUGUUGAGCUUUAGUUGAUUCUAUAGUGUUGUACUAUUCGCAAAGUUCUAUUUUGAGAAAAAAAUGGCAAAUUCAAUAUUGUGCCAGCUAAAUGGCGCACCCGCUGUAGCAAGUGAGUUCCCAUCAAAAUCACCCUGAGCAUAUUUUUGCUGAUUUUCAUGAUUGCUCUUCUGCCAGGAACAAUGUUCCUGGCACUUCGACCACACAACUGUAUGUUCAUGUUCCAGUGUCCUUAUUCAUAGUUAAUUUCAAUCACAAAGUGACAAAUGUCAGUCUAUUAGUUAACAUGUGUAUCUCCGUUUCUUCUAAGUUUCAAUCGACCUACUCUGAAGUUGUUCCUAAGAUAGUGCCUCAAGCAAAGGGAAUGAGCCUCAGUUAGUGCAUCUAGCAAGUUCGUGAUCCUUUGUUGGGAUAAACAUUUGUGCAAGAGCAAUAGUCUCGUCACUAUUGGUUGUUAGUACUGUUGCUUGUUAAUUCUACUUUUUACUUCAGUUCGUAAUGCAAUAUAGUUAUGCUUGACGCACUAUAAGAAGACUGCCAUUUUGCCUUUUGACCUUGGUUUCUUCCUCCAGUAAGUAAAUGCACAUAGUUCUUUUGUAAAUUAGAGCAUACGACUUGUUGAUCGAUCUCUGAGCUCAGUAAUAAUAUUAAGCCUCAAUCUGUUUAUUGUGCACACAAGAUGAGAAAGAAUUGCUACCCAAGAAUAUGUACUUUAUAAACAUUUCAACUGUAAUCUGGAAAAAAAUUAAAUAAAUAAGGAAACAGUAUAUUCAUAUAUCUUUUUUGUACUUUGAUGGUGUCACACCACAAGUUCCGAGAUGGUAAUUGUGCUGCAUAUGUCUGCUCUCUUACUUUGUUUUUCUGAACAGGUAGGUUCUGGAAGAUGUCAUGAAGAAUUUCUUUCAGAGAAUUUGCGUGAGGAGUGUCUAAAUGAUUUUUAUCUUCUGAACAUAUUCUUGUAUGACUAACUGAAUUCAUUUUUUCAAAACGUCGGUACUUUUCCUUUUUCAUUUAUGUUGCUCGAUUGAGUCCACAUGCCUGCCCUUACUGAGUUUGCUCAAGAGUAAGAUAAACUUGAUAUUUAUGUUUGUCGGCAGCAGCGUGACUAGCUGAUCUGUAGCGGCGCGGAAGGUGAGCUUGGCUGCAGGUAGCAGCUCCUUUGGCUGAUCUGCGGCGAUGCAGAAGUUGGGUUGGAAAGAAGCACGACCGGCUGCUCUGAAGUGGGACGUAGGGAGAGCUUCGUAAGAGAUAGGGAGGGAGCUCUAUUGGCCCGUGCAUGACAUCCAACCCAAUGGCAUCAUGCCCUGGUAAGCUUCUUAUCUGUUCCAAUUCUUGCACUUGGUCUUUUUCUUUCUAACCCUAAAAAUAGAGUGUGCCUUGAUUCCUAAUCAUGCUUUAAAAGCUGAUAUCCACCUCGUUUAUCUUGCUACUAGUGGUAAUGUGUGCAAGUAUGAUUUUGUGAUAAUGCCAGAUGUUGUGUGCCUUCUUUAUUCAUGGUACGAGUACUCUAACCUGGCUCGUAUGAUAAUGUAUCACUGCUAUAGAGCACAAACGACGUGUUUUUUAAUUAUAUUUUAGUUGACAUGGAUUUCAUUUAUCUUGUGAAUUGUAUAGUCAGAUCAUGAAUUUUUAUGAUUGAUUGAUUUUCAUGGUCACAGGUAGGCAUGGUUGUGUGGCCACGGGGAAAAUGGAGCAAGUAGCAUGUGAGGAGUUUAACAAAUGGGGACAAGGGACAGUUUAGUUAAUUAAGGCUCUAUGUUAGUUUCAAGUUUUAUCCUUGUUGCGGUAAAAAAUUAUGGUUGGAUUAACCACCAUGUACAUCUUUAAUUACUUUUAAAUAAGAAAUAUAAUCAAAAUAUUCUUUUGAAUUGAUAAAAUUUAUAUAAUUUGUACAAGUACAUGAAGGUGGAACAGGAGGAAGGGUGGGAGAAGAUUAGAUAUCGUUUCAUUUUCUUGCAAGGAAAGGAUGGUUACGAAGAAAUGACAAGAAAUGGAGGGACAAUCAGUUUUAUUACUGUAUGGAUGGAAACCACAUGCCAGCUUGUCCAACAUAUUUCUACAUUGAGUCAAUUAUUCAAUCGCUAUAUUUUUUUUAUUCCAUGGCAAUGCAUGGUCAUUCAACUAUUCAAAUUUACGGGUUAUUCAUCCACUUUUUUCAAGCUAUUUACAUAUUUGUCACUUGUCAGCAAGUUUGCAUAUGAUGCUAGGAAGUGAACAUAAGGACACAUAAACGUUGCAUUUUGAAUAUGAAAUAAACUCAACAUCCAAAUA